GACGAACGCUGGCGGCGUGCCUAAUACAUGCAAGUCGAACGAGAGCAACCGGUGCUUGCACUGGUCAAUCUAGUGGCGAACGGGUGAGUAACACGUGGGUAACCUGCCCAUCAGAGGGGGAUAACAUCCGGAAACGGAUGCUAAAACCGCAUAGGUCUUCGAACCGCAUGGUUUGAAGAGGAAAAGAGGCGCAAGCUUCUGCUGAUGGAUGGACCCGCGGUGCAUUAGCUAGUUGGUGAGGUAACGGCUCACCAAGGCCGUGAUGCAUAGCCGACCUGAGAGGAUGACAAGACACACGGGAACUGAGACAAGGCAAAGACGCCAAGGGGAGGGAGCAGUGGGGAAUAGUGCACAAUGGGUGCAAGCCUGAUGCAGCAAUGCCGCGUGUAUGAAGAAGGGCUGCGGGUUGUAAAGUACGUUCAGCGGGGAGGAAGGGAGAAAAGUUAAUAACUUUGCUCAUUGACGUGACCGGCAGAAGAAGCACCGGCUAACUCCGUG
rnacentral:rRNA from 1 species